GAUCAGGUAUCUGCACUAAGUUUGGCAUCAAUACAGUGACCUCCCGGGAGCGGGGGACCACCAGGUUGCCUAAGGAGGGGUGAACCGGCCCAGAUUGGAAACGGAGCAGGUCAAAAACUGCCGUGCUGAUCAGUAGUGGGAUCGCACCUGU
rnacentral:SRP_RNA from 1 species